UGGGGAAUAUUGGACAAUGGGCGCAAGCCUGAUCCAGCCAUGCCGCGUGAGUGAUGAAGGCCCUUGGGUUGUAAAGCUCUUUCACCGGUGAAGAUAAUGACGGUAACCGGAGAAGAAGCCCCGGCUAACUUCGUGCCAGCAGCCGCGGUAAUACGAAGGGGGCUAGCGUUGUUCGGAUUUACUGGGCGUAAAGCGCACGUAGGCGGACUUUUAAGUUAGGGGUGAAAUCCCGGGGCUCAACCCCGGAACUGCCUUUGAUACUGGAAGUCUUGAGUAUGGUAGAGGUGAGUGGAAUUCCGAGUGUAGAGGUGAAAUUCGUAGAUAUUCGGAGGAACACCAAUGGCGAAGGCGGCUCACUGGACAAUUACUGACGCUAAAGUGCGAAAGCGUGGGGAGCAAACAGG
rnacentral:rRNA from 1 species